ensembl:snoRNA
AGGGCUGAUGAUGAAGACUGGUGUGUAUGAGUCACAAACAGUGAAUAAUAGGUGGCCGAAACUCUCAGGUCCGA